rnacentral:rRNA from 1 species
GAUGAACGCUGGCGGCGUGCCUAAUACAUGCAAGUCGAGCGAACGGACGAGAAGCUUGCUUUUCUGAUGUUAGCGGCGGACGGGUGAGUAACACGUGGAUAACCUACCUAUAAGACUGGGAUAACUUCGGGAAACCGGAGCUAAUACCGGAUAAUAUUUUGAACCGCAUGGUUCAAAAGUGAAAGACGGUCUUGCUGUCACUUAUAGAUGGAUCCGCGCUGCAUUAGCUAGUUGGUAAGGUAACGGCUUACCAAGGCAACGAUGCAUAGCCGACCUGAGAGGGUGAUCGGCCACACUGGAAGUGAGACACGGUCCAGACGCCUACGGGAGGCAGCAGUAGGGAAUCGUCCGCAAUGGGCGAGAGCCUGACGGAGCAACGCCGCGUGAGUGAUGAAGGUCUUCGGAUCGUAAAACUCUGUUAUUAGGGAAGAACAUAUGUGUAAGUAACUGUGCACAUCUUGACGGUACCUAAUCAGAAAGCCACGGCUAACUACGUG